GAUGAAGAACGCAGCGAAAUGCGAUAAGUAAUGCGAAUUGCAGAAUUUCCGUGAGUCAUCGAAUCUUUGAACGCACAUUGCGCCCGGCAGUACUCUGCCGGGCAUGCCUGUUCGAGCGUCAUUUCAACCCUCAAGCCCUGCUUGGUGUUGGGGCCCCACGGCUGCCGUGGGCCCUGAAAGGAAGUGGCGGGCUCGCUACAACUCCGAGCGUAGUAAUUCAUUAUCUCGCUUAGGGCGUUGGGCGGCGCUCCAGCCGUUAAAGAACCAUCUUUAACUCAAGGUUGACCUCGGAUCAGGUAGGAAUACCCGCUGAACUUAAGCAUAUCAAUAAGCGGAGGA
rnacentral:misc_RNA from 1 species